GAUGAACGCUAGCUACAGGCUUAACACAUGCAAGUCGAGGGGCAGCAUUCUGAUAGCUUGCUAUCAGUGAUGGCGACCGGCGCACGGGUGAGUAACGCGUAUCCAACCUGCCUGUCACUCAGGAAUAGCCCGGUGAAAACCGGAUUAAGUCCUGAUGAUAUCAUUAGAGGGCAUCUGACGAUGAUUAAAGGUUACGGUGACGGAUGGGGAUGCGUCUGAUUAGCUUGUUGGCGGGGUAACGGCCCACCAAGGCGACGAUCAGUAGGGGUUCUGAGAGGAAGGUCCCCCACAUUGGAACUGAGACACGGUCCAAACUCCUACGGGAGGCAGCAGUGAGGAAUAUUGGUCAAUGGACGAGAGUCUGAACCAGCCAAGUAGCGUGCAGGAUGACGGCCCUAUGGGUUGUAAACUGCUUUUANAAGGGAUAAAGUGGGAGUCGUGACUCCUUUUGCAUGUACCUUAUGAAUAAGGACCGGCUAAUUCCGUG
rnacentral:rRNA from 1 species